rnacentral:misc_RNA from 1 species
AAUAAAAAUCUCUUUUCUUUUUAUUUAUAAUAACACAUGUACACUGCCCAAAAACCUCCAAGAGGAUGUCCUUAGAAAAAAGACGUUCUUCUAAUAGGGUUGAAGUAAUAGAGGUUGUGGUGCGGCCCAAAAAGUAUUAUCCAGUGGGUCGUGACCGAACCGAAGAUGGCCGUGAUAAAAUUUUUGUCAGUAAAUAUGAAAAGUUUCGGAUAUUCAAAAAUGUGAUUAUCCUUUCUCUGGCCAUGAUGACGCAAUAUGUGGCCUACCAGGGCACCCUCAACCUGCAGUCAUCGCUUAAUGCCGAAGAUGGCUUGGGCACAAUCGCGUGUUCCUGCAUCUAUUUGAGCAUGGGACUAUCCUGCUUGUUCCUUCCGACCCUCAUGAUCCGUCAGCUGACCUGCAAGGGGACCCUGGUGCUAGGAAUGUUUUGUUUUCUUCCCUAUAUCGGCUUGCAACUCUUUUCAAGCAAGGAAACUAUCGGGAACAGGAAAAAUACGAACAACUGGCAAAGGACUUGGCGGCUGCUAAGGGAAAUGAAAGGGACGCUAAGCUGGCCAAGGAGCAUGCCGAAAUAUAUAGCAAAAAAAUUAAACAACAGGCCGAGGACUCCGACGGGGAAGAUGACGACCUGGAUCAUGAUGUGAGGGUGGAGGACAGAGCUAAGAGGAUGUUCAAAUGUUUCUUCUCUCGGAAAAAAUGACAUAGAACAUAAAAUAUUAUUAAUACCGAGAUAGUUUUUUCGAACCACGCCUGCAAGGACAACGAAGGAGCCCUAUAAUUGCCACCCACAAAAAAACCCGAAAAAAAUCCAGCACACGAGCGGGGGAGCUGCAAUGGCAAUUACUUGGCGUUGAUGAUGGCCCAAGAUGCCUUCAGUUUUCACUGCAUUCGCAUCCUGGCAUCGAAGCCGGGUGAGGAGAAGGUCGUGGGACCGUAAAAGGACAAUGCUUUGAUUGCCCUGUGGAAGAUAAAGGAGAGACACGCCAGACGUUGUUAAUGUCUGGUCAUGAGUUAAACACUUCAAUAAAACGUGAGCGUGUGUGUAAGAGUGCUCUGGCCAGGGCUAUAAAACAAUUGUUUCACCAUAUUUAGUCCUUGGGCGGAAACCGAAUUAUAUUACACAUACGACACGUUGGCAUGUAUAGAGGGGGCUUUCUCGCCUGCAAAUAAUAAAAAUGAAAAGGAAUUCAAGA